GCAGCACGGGAGCAAUCCUGGUGGCGAGUGGCGAACGGGUGAGUAAUAUAUCGGAACGUGCCCAGUCGUGGGGGAUAACGCAGCGAAAGCUGUGCUAAUACCGCAUACGAUCUAAGGAUGAAAGCGGGGGAUCGCAAGACCUCGCGCGAUUGGAGCGGCCGAUAUCAGAUUAGCUAGUUGGUGAGGUAAAGGCUCACCAAGGCGACGAUCUGUAGCUGGUCUGAGAGGACGACCAGCCACACUGGAACUGAGACACGGUCCAGACUCCUACGGGAGGCAGCAGUGGGGAAUUUUGGACAAUGGGCGCAAGCCUGAUCCAGCAAUGCCGCGUGCAGGAUGAAGGCCUUCGGGUUGUAAACUGCUUUUGUACGGAACGAAACGGUCUACCCUAAUACGGUGGGCUAAUGACGGUACCGUAAGAAUAAGCACCGGCUAACUACGUGCCAGCAGCCGCGGUAAUACGUAGGGUGCGAGCGUUAAUCGGAAUUACUGGGCGUAAAGCGUGCGCAGGCGGUUAUAUAAGACAGAUGUGAAAUCCCCGGGCUCAACCUGGGACCUGCAUUUGUGACUGUAUAGCUAGAGUACGGUAGAGGGGGGAUGGAAUUCCGCGUGUAGCAGUGAAAUGCGUAGAUAUGCGGAGGAACACCGAUGGCGAAGGCAAUCCCCUGGACCUGUACUGACGCUCAUGCACGAAAGCGUGGGGAGCAAACAGGAUUAGAUACCCUGGUAGUCCACGCCCUAAACGAUGUC
rnacentral:rRNA from 1 species